CCUACGGGAGGCAGCAGUGGGGAAUCUUGCGCAAUGGGCGAAAGCCUGACGCAGCGACGCCGCGUGAGCGAUGAAGGCCUUCGGGUCGUAAAGCUCUGUCAGAGGGGACGAUAAUGACGGUACCCUCAGAGGAAGCCCCGGCUAACUACGUGCCAGCAGCCGCGGUAAGACGUAGGGGGCUAGCGUUGUCCGGAAUUACUGGGCGUAAAGGGCGUGUAGGCGGCCAGGAAAGUCAGUGGUGAAACACCUGGGCUCAACCCAGGUAUUGCCGUUGAAACUGUCUGGCUUGAGGAUAGAAGAGGAGUGUGGAAUUCCCGGUGUAGCGGUGAAAUGCGUAGAGAUCGGGAGGAACACCAGUGGCGAAGGCGGCACUCUGGUCUAUACCUGACGCUGAGGCGCGAAAGCUAGGGAAGCAAACAGGAUUAGAUACCCCGGUAGUC
rnacentral:rRNA from 1 species